rnacentral:lncRNA from 1 species
CUACACUUCCUCCAUUUUUUUGUCCGUUUUAGUUUUUCCUCCAUUUUUUUGUCCGUUUUAGUUUCUCAAAUGUACCCUAAAGUAGAGCUACACUUCCUCCAUUUUUUUGUCCGUUUUAGUUUCUCAAAUGUACAAAGUUAAUCAGCCAAUGUAUCAGUUAGAAAUUAAUGGACCUCAGUGUUUUAUUUUUCUUUCUUUCUUUCUGAUAAGCAUAUGAGCACAUGGAAAACACCUAUGGGAAGAUUGCAAAAUAGCAAACAGGGAGCUUGUAAACCAGAGAACAGAGAGCCAAG